GGACAGAGCGGGCUGGGAGCCCUGGGACAGCAGGUCGCGGACAGUGGGGAGCUGUGAACUUGAGGGGAAGAAGACACAGCCAGGGAAAGACUCUCUGCCGUUCUGGAGGGGAGCCAGACCUCUGAGCUUUCAACAUGCAGCCAAAAAGACCUGGAGGACCACAGGAGAGAAAAUGAGAGGAACAGAGGAGCGAAUGUCUGCCUCUGAGAAGAGGUCUGGAGAAGGAGGAUGCUUCUAAGGGCAGCUGCAUGACUCUCCAUCCUCCUCUUCUGCCAUUUCACGAAGAGAUCACAAACCCAGAUGGAGCAGCAAAAUAUGGAAGAGCCUCUCUCAGCCUGGAUCCCUGAGGUCUCUCGUGGAGGAUGAUUGCCUUGCAGAGUCUCUUGGGACCUUAAUGGAUGUUGCAUGAAUGAGAAUAAACUUUGCUAUGCCCUGCUCUGAUACUUUAGACUUUAUUAUCACAGCACAACCCACCUUAUCUUGAUUGGUACUUUUUGUUUUUUUUUUUUUCUUUAAUUUUCAGUCAAAAAUAUUUUUUAAAAUCUGGCUUAGAGAAUAGUUCUAAG
ensembl:lncRNA